CCUACGGGUGGCAGCAGUGGGGAAUAUUGCACAAUGGGGGAAACCCUGAUGCAGCGACGCCGCGUGAGUGAAGAAGGAUUUCGGUAUGUAAAGCUCUAUCAGCAGGGAAGAAAAUGACGGUACCUGAUUAAGAAGCCCCGGCUAACUACGUGCCAGCCGCCGCGGUAAUACGUAGGGGGCAAGCGGUAGCCGGAUUUACUGGGUGGAAAGGGAGCGUUAACGGCAGCAGCAGUCUGGAGUGAAAUGCCGGGGCUUAACCCCGGAGCUGCAUUGGAAACUGUGCAGCUAGAGUGCAGGAGAGGUAAGCGGAAUUCCUAGUGUAGCGGUGAAAUGCGUAGAUAUUAGGAGGAACACCAGUGGCGAAGGCGGCUUACUGGACUGUAACUGACGUUGAGGCUCGAAAGCGUGGGGAGCAAACAGGAUUAGAUACCCCUGUAGUC
rnacentral:rRNA from 1 species